UACGAAGGGGGGCUAGCGUUGCUCGGAAUCACUGGGCGUAAAGCGCACGUAGGCGGAUCUUUAAGUCAGGGGUGAAAUCCCAAGGCUCAACCUUGGAACUGCCUUUGAUACUGGGGAUCUCGAGUCCGGAAGAGGUUGGUGGAACUGCGAGUGUAGAGGUGAAAUUCGUAGAUAUUCGCAAGAACACCAGUGGCGAAGGCGGCCAACUGGUCCGGUACUGACGC
rnacentral:rRNA from 1 species